CAUCUUAAAUCUAAAAAGUAAUUGGGCCCUAUCCAUUAUACAAAAUACCCGGCGCAACUUCAUUUUCUUCAGACAUAUAAAUUCAUUCCCUCUCCUUAAUUUUUGUCUCUCCUUCAGUUUCUUAGGUGAAACAUGUAGAAUUAUCACCUGAAUCUCCAAUUCCUCUUGCUCCUGCUGUGGAUCAUCAAUUCGGUGCCUUGGAAUAUGAAAAUGUGUUCUGAUAUCAGCUUUUUGAACUGAGAUCUCUGGUGGAUGGAUUUUAUCAUUGACUUUGGUGUUGAUUUGAGGGUCAAAGGUUCCUGGAGCUGAUUGCAUGUCCAGGUAUACUUCGAUCUUCUUCUCUGCACCUUGUGCUUGUUCUUUACUCUAACUUUGCGAUUUAAGAUCUGUUUGAUCAUAGAUAUUGCAGAUUUUGGAAAAAAGUUUUGAUAGAACCUAUUUGACGAUAAAAAUUAUUAAAUUUGACAAAAAAAUAAGACCUCACAAUCUAAAGCAGAUAUAUCAUUCAUUAUAAAAGUGGUGCAUAUACAUUUUCGUCGAUUAACAACUGAUGCAUAUUUAUCAUUUUUAUUAACUUGCUAUAGCAACAACAGACUCAGUGUAUCCUCACCAAGUGAGGUCUGGGGAAGUAAAAUGUACGCAGUCCAUAUCACUACCUCUGAAAAGGUAGAGAGGGCUAUUUUCGAAUGACCUCGGCUCAAAAAUGAGAAUAGUAUACCAAGACCGUAAUGAAACAUGAGACAUGAUGGAUAACAUAAAUAGAAAUAAAAGAUAAAAUAUAAUAGCAAUAAAUAUCAUAGAAUUGCAAAAUAAGAGAAAAUACGAGCAACACGAAAUAAGUAUAAGAAAACAGAUACUUUUAUUAACUUGCCUAAAUUUAGUAAAUUUGAAAAUAAUAUAAAAUUAAUUUUUUAUCAAAAAAAUGUAAUGUGACUUUAAAUAAUUAUCUCACAAAUUUUUCUUACUCUUCCAGAUCCGACCAAUGUUGACACCUAAUUUUUGCCCUCCCGAUCGGAUUCAUCCUUGAGAUUCUUUGAUUUUAAAUAAAAUUACCACAUUUAUUUUUAUCUGAAUAAGAUAUUUUUAAAAAAUUUAUCUAGGUAAUUUUGUCAUCUUAAAGUAACAAUUAUAUAUUUUCGUAUUCAUAUAUAAGAAAUCGUACAAUUUUAUUAAUUAAAUAAUUAUUUUUACAAAAAAAAUAAAAGAUUUUAAUCAAGGGUUAUAUUGGAAAUUAAAUCAAAAGGUUAAAAUUUCAACUCAAAUAUAAUUUAGUCUCAAAAAUAAUUUAUUUUAAAAAAUAUUUGUUUAAUUUUAUUUAAAUCAAGAAGCUCGGAAUUAAAUUGUCUAAAUCGUCAAUCAUUUGCUAUUUAAUAAAUAGCUAAAUCCUCAAUAUCUAAUCGGGUGAAUCUCAAAAAUAGGCCCAAAAUGAGGUGACUUUCAAAUUUUAGUCUCAAAUAAACAAGUUUUCUUAAAAUAACCUUUACCUAUUAACUAAUAUUUUUUUGGACAGAAUUGCCACUAAUCAAUGGAGUAAUUGCAUAAAUGAUAUAACAACUUCAUAUUUAUAUCUUUCAACCUUUUUUUUCUCUUUUUAAUUUACUUUGAUUUUUAUUUUUUAUUUUCUCUUUUUAUUUUUUAUUUUCUCAAUCCUUACUUUUUUCCUCUCAACUUAUUUUUUUUUCUUUUUUUUUUAUUUUUUUCCUCUUUUUUUUUUUCUUUUUUAUUUUCUCAACCCUUACUUUUUCUUAUUUACACCUUUCAACGGCUACUUUUAUAAAAAAAAAAAAAUCUUUGAUUUUUUUUUCUUUUUUUCUUUUUAAAUGUUCCUCGACCUUUAUUUUUAUUUAAUCUUUUUUUUUUAUCAAUCUAUUUUUUUCUUCCUAUUCUCUCUCAACUUCUACAUUUUCUUUGAUUUUGAUUUUUUUGAUAUUUUUCUUUAUUUUCUUCUUUUUUCGCAAUUUUUAUUAUUUUUGUUAUUUUUUUCAAUUACUUCCAUUCAAGUUACAUUUCAUGAGCAAGAAUUGACACUAUAACAUUAUAAAGGCAAGACUUACGACUUUCGAAUAAUAAACUAUGUUUCAUGGGCAAGAGUUGACACUACUACAUUGUAGAGGCAAGACUUAUGACUUUCAAGCAACAAGUUAUGUUUUAUGGGCAAGAGUUGACACUACCACAUUGUAUGUUGAUUUAUGAGAUAUUUUAUAACUCUUAUCUUAGGGGCAAGACUUAGCUUAGGAACUUUCAAACAACAAAUUAUACCCCACGGGCAAGAGUUAACUCUGCCACGUUAUAUUUUCUUUUAUGAGAUGUUCUACAACUAUUGUCUUAGAGGCAAGACUUAACUCAAGUACUUUCAAACUACAAAUUAUGUCCCACGGGCAAAAAUUGACACUACAACGUUAUGUUUUCAUUUAUGAGAUGUUCUACAACUAUUGUCUUAGAGGCAAGAUUUGGCUCAAGGACUUUCAAACAACAAAUUAUGCCCCACGGGCAAGAGUUGACUCUACCACGUUAUGUUUUCAUUUAUAAGAUGUUCUACAACUAUUGUCUUAAAGGCAAGACUGGGCUUAUGGAGUUUCAAACUACAAACUAUGCCCCUUGGGCAAGAGUUGACUUUACCACGUUAUGUUUUUAUUUAUGAAAUGUUCUACAACUAUUGCCUUAGAGGGAAGACUUAAUUAGCUCAAGGACUUUCAAACUACAAAUUAUGCUCCACGGGCAAGAGUUGACUCUACCACGUUAUGUUUUCAUUUUUGAGAUGCUCUACAACUAUUGCCUUAGAGGCAAGACUUAAUUAGCUCAAGGACUUUCAAAUAACAAAUUAUGCCCCAAGGGAAAGAGUUGACUUUACCACGUUAUAUUUUUAUUUAUGAGAUGUUCUACAACUAUUGCCUUAGAGGCAAGACUUAAUUAGCUCAACAACUUUCAAACAACAAAUUAUGCCCUACGGACAAGAGUUGACUCUACCACGUUAUGUUUUCAUUUAUUAGAUGUUCUACAACUAUUGCCUUAGAGGCAAAACUUAGCUCAAAGACUUUCAAACUAUAAAUUAUGCCCCACAGGUAAGAGUUGACUCUACCAUGCUAUGUCUUCAUUUAUGAGAUGUUUUACAACUCUUGCUAGAGGCAAGACUUAGCUUAAGGACUUUCAAACAACAAAUUAUGCCCCACGGGCAAGAGUUGACUCUACUACAUUAUGUUUUCAUUUAUGAGAUGUUCUACAAUUAUUGCCUUAGAGACAAGACUUAGCUCAAGGACUUUCAAAUAACAAAUUAUGCCCCACGGGCAAGAGUUGACUCUAUCACGUUAUGUUUUUAUUUCUGAGAUGCUCUACAACUAUUGCCUUAGAGGCAAGACUUAAUUAGCUCAAAGACUUUCAAAUAACUAAUUAUGCCCCACGGGCAAAAGUUGACAUUAUCAUGUUGUGUCUUUAUUUAUGGGAUGUUCUACAACUAUUGCCUUAGAGGCAAAACUUUGCUGAAGGACUUUCAAACAACAAAUUAUGCACCACGGACAAGAGUUGACUCUACCACGUUAUGUUUUCAUUUAUGAGAUGUUCUACAAUUAUUGCCUUAGAGGCAAGAGUUACUUAGCUCAAGGACUUUCAAACAACAAAUUAUGUUCUACGGGCAAGAGUUGACUUUACCGCGUUAUAAUUUCACUUAAGAGAUGUUCUAUAAUUAUUGACUUAGAGGCAAGACUUAGCUCAAGGACUUUCAAACUACAAAUUAUACCCUACGGGCAAGAGUCGACACUACCGCAUUAUGUCUUCAUUUAUGAGAUGUUCUACAACUCUUGCCUUAGAGGCAGGACUUAGUUCAAAGACUUUCAAACUACAAAUUAUGCUUAACGGGCAAGAGUUGACUCUACCAUGUUAUGUUUUAUUUAUGGGAUAUUCUACAACACUUGCCGUAGAGGCAAGAUUUAGCUCAAGGACUUUCAAAUAAUAAAUUAUGCCCCACAGGCAAGAGUUGAUACUACCACGUUAUGUCUUCAUUUAUGGGAUGUUCUACAACUCUUGCCUUAGAGGCAAGACUUUGCUCAAGGACUUUGAAAUAAUAAAUUAUGCCUCACGGGCAAAAGUUGACACUACUACAUUAUGUCUUUAUUUAUGAGAUAUUCUACAACUCUCGCCUUAGAGACACGACUUAUCUCAAGAAUUUUUAAAGAACUUCGUAACAACAAUUCAUGCUUUAAAUUUGUUUUGAUGUCAAAAAAGCAAGAUCUCUUUGCGGAUUAUCUAAUUUUUUAUUUAUUAGCAAAAUAUAAUAGAAGUUGAGAAAAAAACAAACAACGAUCAAACAAAAUAGAGAAAUAAAAAAAAAGAUUGAGAAAAAAAAGAAAAGAAAAAAAUAAAGAUCACGAAAAAGCACAGAAUUAAAAAAAAUAAAAAUGGGAGGGAAAAUGAAAAUAAAGUUUGAGAAAAUGAGGGGAAAAAAGAGAACUAAAAAAAGAAAAAGACAAUCAAACAAAAUAGAGAAAUAAAAAAAAGAGUGAGAAAAAAAAAGGCAAGAAAAAAAGAAAGAUUAAGAAAAAAGUGAAGAAUUUAAAAAGUUGAGAAAAAAAUGAGAAGAAAAAAUAAAAAUAAAGCUUGAGAAAAAUGAGGGAAAAAAAAAGAGAAUUGAUAAAAACCAAAAUUAAAAGAAAAAUAAAGGUUAAAGACAAAUGAAUUAAAAAAAAAAAAGAAAAAAGAAAUAGAUAAUGCUUGAGAAAUAAAAAGUGAAAAAAAUAAAGAUUGAGACAAAUAAAUUAAAACAUGAAAAUAUAAUUAAAGGAAAAAAAAAGUAAAAAAGUGAAAAUAAUUUAAAAAAAUAGAAUAAUAAAAUUAAAUGAAAAAAUACAAAGUGAAAAUAAUAAAAAAUAAAAUUUGAGAGAUAAAUGAGUAUGGAAAGUUUAAAAAGAUAAUUGAGGUGUAUAAGGGCAAAAUGAUACUUUUAGUAUAUUAAAAAGUAAGAAAGACUAUUAUUCAAAGAAAUUUUUAUUUGGAGUCAAAUAUCUAAAGUCACUCAUAUUUUGAUCUAUGACAUGCAAUUUUCUGUAUCUAAUCUACCCAAAAAUAGCCCAAUACCACCCCGCAUUGCCCAUUCCCUUUUCCCCUCUCCUAUUUUUUAAAUUUUGGACCAUAACAAGUGGGCCUAAUUCAACAAAAUUAACCCAAUUCCAGCCGCCCAUCAGUUCCCAGCAACAUGGGCCAACAACUCACCAGCCCAGCGACUAACAACAAUUCCACACCAGCCGCCCCAGCCCAGCAAAAUCAUCCGACCCGGCCCACUACCCUAUUCUCCCUUUUAACACCAACAACGUUCAACGUAUCCACAGCAGUAACAACCGACAGCAUCAAUAGCUGUACCAACAGCUACAAAUACCGUUCCAAGAACGACAACACCACUCAACACCGUUCAUCCUCAACCAAACGGCGUCCAACACCACCAAAACGCUAUAACGUCCAUUCCAAAAACCCAGCCAAAUCACCAUCUAUUUUUCGCCCGUUCAACCCGUUGAAGCCAACAAUGGCAGGAAAACAGUCCCCAAACGACGAUACAAAGGAAAUUGCCCUGAAUUUCGUCAUUAAUUCAAGAUAUAGAGGAGAUUCUUUGAUGAUUUUGAAUUCAAACUCCAUCCACAUGUUUGAAAAAAUAUUUUCACUUCAAAUCGGGACUUCAUCUAUAAAUACCCCUCUUUCACCAUGGAAAGGAGAGAGGAUUUUUGGUGAAAAAUUAGGGGUUGUGAAGGUGCUUGCCUUUAACCUCAUGUAACCAAAAUUCUCGACGAACACCCUCCGAAAACCGAAUUCCGGCGAAACUGUUGAACUCCGGCAAGGCCAAUCGGCGUUCCGGUGGUGAAAGUCCAUUUGUCUAAGGCUCGUUGUCCUAGUUGGCUGCCCCGAGAAAGGUAACGAUCAACCUAAAGAUUUUUACGUGAUCAUGCUCUGUAUUGCUUAAGAUUCUCAAAUUGCCAUUUUCUAUCAUUUUUUUUUUUGGAAAAAAGGGUCUUCUUUCUGUUCUUUUUGUUCAUGGUUUUGUUCUUGUUGUGCAAAGGGGGCCCAUUUUGUUUGCUUUCUUUUUCUCAGGUGUAGUCUCGUAUAGAGUAAGGGUCAUAUGAAUGCUUCAAUUAUUUACUGCAACUUGUUGUGUUGAGACGUGAAGACCUUAAUCUUCUAGUGACCUUAAUCUUCUAAACAAGAGUAUCAUGAAUUUUGAGAUAGAGUAAAAUAAGUUCCAUGGAAAAUAACGUUAUAUGGCAUGUUCGUCUUGAUUGGGACUAGAAUUUCUUAAAUCAAAUCUUCUGCUCAUAUGGGCUAUUUGAAAGUUUCUUGAAAGUAGUUUCUCCGCUGUUAUGAGAAUGCAUUUUUUUAGUAUUUCUUUUUUUUUUUUCUUUAAAACGUGCCGAAGUUGUGAACGACGGGGUGUUUUUCUUGUGUACGAGCAGCUGAAAAUAGGGGUUCAUGAUAGCCUAAUUCUGUUUCGAAAAUUCUGUUUUUAACUAAUGCAGUGUGACUGUAUGAUUGGCCUUUACUGCUGCAAAGUGUUUGGGGUAUUGUAUUACCCAUACUCAUAAUGGGCCAUAAGUGCAAACUUUAUUAUUUGUAUCCUAGUUUGAUCAUCACUUUCCUACGUGGAUCACGAGUAGAGUAAAAUUAUUCUGUUGUUGCCUUUAAUAAUGAAUAACCAAAGGGUCUUUUGCUUUGUUUUUUUCUGAAUGUUGUCAUUUGUGCGAGUUAAUCACGAUACCAAUGAGUUUGAAGAUGUAGCUUUACUGCUAUAGAUAUCUCUCUGUCAUGUUUUGGAAUACAUAAAUUUGUUUGAAUCCUUUGAUCACAUUUAGAUGUUUAAUUGAGUAAUUCUCUCAUACACUAAUCCUUUAAUUCUUUUCUUGUGCAUGAACUCCUUUGAGUCCGUUUUGGACUCUUUACUUGCAUCCUUGUUGGGCCCAACCUCCAUCGAGUCAAAGCCUCAAUCGAAUUCACAAAUGGACUUAUAUAUGCAUAAACAAGCUGGUAUACCGUUGUAUACAGAUGAUAUACAUUAGAAGGCAGCAGCUGCGCGUUAUACCGUUGUUUAUGAUGAAAAAUGGAGUCACAAUAUGCAGCUUACCGCACUGAUAUAACCGUAUACGCAGCGGUAUACACAAAAACGCAUGAAAUAAGCUGCUGAUAUACAGCAGAUAUACAGGGGCGAAAAAUGGACUAAAGUCCAUGGAAUUGAUCCAAUGGACAGUUUUUUUUUGGGCCAAAGGGGCCCAAUUCUCACUCUUUUUUCUUUAAUUAUCCAUUCUAAAUUAUUUAUUUGUAUUUGCUUGAACAUGUUAAUCAAUUAAUCUAAAUAAAUCCCCAAGAUAUCGCCAUUUUUCUUUUA